rnacentral:lncRNA from 1 species
CCGAUUUGAAUCACUACAUAAUUAAAAACAUUAAAUAAGUCUUUGAAUCACUACAUAAUUAAAAAUAUUACAUAAGUAUAUGAAUCACUGCAUAAUUAAAAACAUUACAUAAGUCUUUGAAUCACUACAUAAUUAAAAACAUUACAUAAAUCUUGAAAUUAACACAUAAUUGAAAUGUAAGUCUUUAAUAUUUUCCAUUUGUAUCCAUUUCUUCUCUCCAAAAGAUCUCCAUUUGCAUUAAAUCUACAAAAAAAAAAAAAACAUGUGCAACAAUUUAGCAAAUAAUAGAAAUAUAUGCAUUUAAAAAAAAUAAGGUUCCAGCAUAUGCUUUGCGGCAUUCCCAUUGCUAAGAAAUGCAACAAUCUGGAAUAUAAAUUGAAUUUCAUUCAAUUAAAUCUUAACCUCAUGGUUCCAUAACAAAGCAACUAUACAGUGGAAACGUAUUUAUCCUACAAAUACCUUUAAACAAUCCAAUCAAAGAAACACAACAAAUUUGUUCAAACAGUUUCAGAGAAUAGUGAAGAGACUGAUUUUGUUAACAAAUAAAAGGAAUUAAUAAUAUAAAUCUCAAAUUUAGGAUUUAUUGAUACUCAAAAUAUCAAAGAAACAAACGACUUAAUCUAAAUUUUGAGUAACUCCUUAGCAUUUAAACUAAACAACAUGAUAUUUGUUUUCAUCGCGAGAGAUAAAUAUUUGAUUCUCGUAUUUAAAAAUAAUCUUAUUUAACUCAACAAAUCAACCCAUACAAGAGAUUCUUCAUCUCAACAUCAAUGCAGUGAGUAAGAGUUAAGGAAGUUUAUGUAAACCAGUACAGCAAAUGUAGAAAAUUAGAUUCAAUCUUCUUUCUUCUGCUUCCAUGAAUAAAUAAAUUCAAUCAAAGCAAUCAAGAUUCCAAGAACUAUAACAGAAAAUCAUUACAAAUCAAGAUUAACUUCUUCAAGAGAACAAAAAUCGAACAUUGAAAUACGUAUACAUAUCACUCGGAAAACAUGCAAAAAUAAAGAUUAAAAAGAAAUCACUAAUCAAGAAGGCCAUGAAAGAAGAACAUAUCUUCGUAAUAAAUCAAAAUCGCAAAGACAGUUGGAAAGAAAAGAGAACGAAAUAGCGAUGCCUAUGAGUGAGAACUCAGAAGAGAAUUUUCUUGAGAAAGAUGAGUUGAAAGUAAAAACCACACAAAAAAAAGUAAUCAACGGGUAACAGAGCUGCUUGCCUACUUCCGUGCUUCGACGACAACACCAGCGGGCAGCGGCCAGCCGUAGCUCCAGCCUCCAGCUAUGAUACUUUUGAAGGUUUUGGGAGAUUUUGAAGAUUUUAAAGGUUUUGAGAGAUUUGAAAUUUUCAAUUAGGGGUCUGAAACUUGAAAAGUUAGGUUUUUUUUUUUCUGUCGUGUGUGUGAGUGUGAGGGUGAGACUGAGUAGUGAGUAGGGGUGGGUGUUUUAGUUUUACCAAAAUUUUACAUUUAGAUUUU